AUUGAACGCUGGCGGCAGGCCCAACACAUGCAAGUCGAGCGGAUGAAGAGAGCUUGCUCUCUGAUUUAGCGGCGGACGGGUGAGUAAUGCCUAGGAAUCUGCCUGGUAGUGGGGGAUAACGUUCCGAAAGGAACGCUAAUACCGCAUACGUCCUACGGGAGAAAGUGGGGGAUCUUCGGACCUCACGCUAUCAGAUGAGCCUAGGUCGGAUUAGCUAGUUGGUGUGGUAAUGGCUCACCAAGGCGACGAUCCGUAACUGGUCUGAGAGGAUGAUCAGUCACACUGGAACUGAGACACGGUCCAGACUCCUACGGGAGGCAGCAGUGGGGAAUAUUGGACAAUGGGCGAAAGCCUGAUCCAGCCAUGCCGCGUGUGUGAAGAAGGUCUUCGGAUUGUAAAGCACUUUAAGUUGGGAGGAAGGGUUGUAGAUUAAUACUCUGCAAUUUUGACGUUACCGACAGAAUAAGCACCGGCUAACUUCGUGCCAGCCGCCGCCGUAA
rnacentral:rRNA from 1 species